CUAAACUUGCCCAUUAAGUGAGUAGAGAUUGCAGAUAUGUACUGGGUCACUUCUCCUCUGACUUCUGCUGCUGGCUCCCAGGGACCCUGUGGCUUCAGUAACCAGAGUCACAGCUUAAAAACAUCUGUCUCUACAUCCAGCCUUCUUUCCUUCAACAAAAGUGCAUAAGGGGAGAGAUGAAAGGAAAUACUGUGAUGGCAGAGGGUGCAAAGAAUUGAACAGGAGAUAGUAAACAGGAAUCAAGAAAGAGAGCAGGCAAUGGAUGAACAGAAACAUGAGUUCAUAUGAGUCUUGAAAGAAGAAAAUUGAAUAUGAACAUUCAGGAGCCAAUGGGGAUUUGAAUGGCUGAAGCUUCCAAAAUAACAGAUGAUAUGGAAACCACCAGCUAGACAUAGAGGAAUCCUUCUGGGCCUCACUGGCCACAUGGGUUCUUUGGUCAGUCUGCACACAAAUCCUUGGCUAGAUGGAUGACUGCAUCCUUGGCUUGGGAGAUGUGUAUGCGUCAUUUGUUCUUGAAGACAGACUAUCCAAACUGAAUUCCAGAAGAAUUGAUAGUAGAACUCCUUCCAUAGCAAAGCAAGAAUACACUCUUUCCUCUUGCUCUGUUUACCGA